rnacentral:misc_RNA from 1 species
AACUGAUACUACCUGCGGGAACCUGCGGAAGGAUCAUUACUGAGUGAGGGCCCCUCGGGGUCCAACCUCCCACCCGUGUUUAACGAACCUUUGUUGCUUCGGCGGGCCCGCCUCACGGCCGCCGGGGGGCUCCUGCCCCCGGGCCCGCGCCCGCCGAAGCCCCCCCUUGAACGCUGUCUGAAGUUUGCAGUCUGAGAAACUAGCUAAAUUAGUUAAAACUUUUAACAAUGGAUCUCUAGA